rnacentral:rRNA from 1 species
CACGCCGUAAACGAUGCACACUAGGCAUUUGGAGUAUCGACCCUUCGAGUGCCGAAGCUAACGCGUUAAGUGUGCCGCCUGGGUAGUACGGCCGCAAGGCUAAAACUCAAAGGAAUUGACGGGGACCCGCACAAGCGGUGGAACAUGAGGUUUAAUUCGAUACUAAGCGAAGAACCUUACCAGGACUUGACAUCUCUGGAACCCCCUAGAAAUAGGGGGGUGCCUUCGGGAGCCAGAUGACAGGUGU